rnacentral:rRNA from 1 species
GACAGAGGGUGCAAACGUUGUUCGGAAUCACUGGGCGUAAAGCGCGUGUAGGCUGCUGCGCAAGUCGGAUGUGAAAUCCCACGGCUCAACCAUGGAAGUGCAUUCGAAACUGCGUAGCUAGAGUUUUGGAGAGGAAGGCGGAAUACUCGGUGUAGAGGUGAAAUUCGUAGAUAUCGAGUGGAACACCGGUGGCGAAGGCGGCCUUCUGGACCGGUAUUGACGCUGAGGCGCGAAAGCCAGGGGAGCAAACGGG